AGCAGCCGCGGUAAUUCCAGCUCCAAUAGCGUAUAUUAAAGUUGUUGCAGUUAAAAAGCUCGUAGUUGAAUUUCGAGACCGGCUUACUGGUCGUGCUAUUGUGCGUACUGGUAUAAUCGGUUUCUCCUUUCUGACGAACUAUAAUGCCAUUAAUUUGGUGUUAUAGGGAAUCAGGACUGUUACUUUGAAAAAUUAGAGUGUUUAAAGCAGGCUCACGCUUGAAUACAUUAGCAUGGAAUAACGGAAUAGGACGUUUGAUUCUAUUUUGUUGGUUUCUAGGAUCGACGUAAUGAUUAAUAGGGAUAGUUGGGGGCAUUAGUAUUCAAUUGUCAGAGGUGAAAUUCUUGGAUUUAUUGAAGACUAACUACUGCGAAAGCAUUUGCCAAGGAUGUUUUCAUUAAUCAAGAACGAAAGUUAGGGGAUCGAAGACGAUCAGAUACCGUCGUAGUCUUAACCAUAAACUAUGCCGACUAGGGAUCGGAUGAUGUUAAUUUUUAAUGUACUCAUUCGGCGCCU
rnacentral:rRNA from 1 species